rnacentral:rRNA from 1 species
UACAGAGGGGGCAAGCGUUGUUCGGAAUUACUGGGCGUAAAGGGCGCGUAGGCGGCCUUCUAAGUCGAACGUGAAAUCCCUGGGCUUAACCCAGGAACUGCGUCCGAUACUGGAAGGCUUGAAUCCGGGAGAGGGAUGCGGAAUUCCCGGUGUAGCAGUGAAAUGCGUAGAGAUCGGGAGGAACAUCCAUGGCGAAGGCAGCUACCUGGACCAACACUGACACUGAGGCAC